AACGUAGGAGACAAACGUUAUCCGGAGUUACUGGGCGUAAAGGGCGUGUAGGUGGUUUCGUAAGUCUGGCGUGAAAUUUUUCGGCUUAACCGGGAAAGGUCGUCGGAUACUGCGAGGCUAGAGGACGGUAGAGGCGUGUGGAAUUCCGGGUGUAGUGGUGAAAUGCGUAGAGAUCCGGGGGAACACCAGUGGCGAAGGCGACACGCUGGGCCGUACCUGACACUGAUGCGCGACAGCAUGGGGAGCAAACAGG
rnacentral:rRNA from 1 species